UUGAGUAUUUCUUAUAUACAUUUCAAGUGUUAUUCCCUUUCCCGGUUUCCGGACAGACAUCACCCUCCCCCCUCCCCUUCCUUGUGGGUGUUCCCCUCCCAAACCUCCCCCCAUUGCCACCCUCCCCGCAUAGUCUAGUUCACUGGGGGGGUUCAGUCUUAGCAGGACCCAGGGCUUCCCCUUCCACUGGUGCUCUUACUAGGAUAUUCAUUGCUACCUAUGGGGUCAGAGUCCAGGGUCAGUCCAUGUAUAGUCUUUAGGUAGUGGCUUAGUCCCUGGAAGCUCUGGUUGCUUGACAUUGUUGUACUUUUGGGGU
rnacentral:lncRNA from 1 species